UACAGAGGGUGCAAGCGUUGUUCGGAAUUAUUGGGCGUAAAGCGCGUGUAGGCGGCCAGGCAAGUUGGGUGUGAAAGCCCUCGGCUUAACCGAGGAAGUGCGCCCAAAACUACUUGGCUUGAGUACCGGAGAGGAUGGCGGAAUUCCCGGUGUAGAGGUGAAAUUCGUAGAUAUCGGGAGGAACACCAGCGGCGAAGGCGGCCAUCUGGACGGAUACUGACGCUGAGACGCGAAAGCGUGGGUAGCAAACAGG
rnacentral:rRNA from 1 species